rnacentral:rRNA from 1 species
UGCGUAGGCGGCGCGGUAAGUCGGGUGUGAAAUCUCGGAGCUUAACUCCGAAACUACAUUCGAUACUGCCGUGCUUGAGGACUGGAGAGGAGACUGGAAUUUACGGUGUAGCGGUGAAAUGCGUAGAUAUCGUAAGGAAGACCAGUGGCGAAGGCGGGUCUCUGGACAGUUCCUGACGCUGAGGCACGAAGGCCAGGGGAGCAAACG